CAGUUGAAUAAGGAAGCUUGUCAGAAAUAUAAUCCGAAGAAGCAAAUCCUCUGCCUGAGUUGCUUCUCCCAAACCGAUUUCUAGCAGUAUUGGCCUCUGCAUUGCUGCUUUCAAGCUGCCUCCACAAGCCAUUUAAUCUUUCUAGCUCCAUCUCUUUCAAAUGGAUUUCACUGACCAGGCCUUCUGCUUGUGCCUGCUUUGCUGCUAGUUGCUCAAUUAAGCUAUGAAGCUGUUUAUCCAAUAUCUUCUCUCUCUGCGCUGGCAUAGGCUGCUUCAGAGCACUAUCUUGAACUUGUGCCCAUUUUUUCUCUAAAUCUUGAACAAUUUCUUCCAUUGAACUCAGUUCUUUUUUCUUGUUCUCCAACUUCUCCAAUAAAGUGGAAUUUGUAGCUAGUGUAUCUGGUUCAGUUUCAACUUCUGUUUCAUAUACAACUGAUUCACCAGGCCUUCCAGACUGACUGGUGUUCAGCGCAGUUUCUGCAUUUUCCAGUUCCUG
rnacentral:misc_RNA from 1 species